rnacentral:lncRNA from 1 species
UGGCUGCUGAAAGCAACAGAAGCUUCAAGACCUUCCGUAACUUACCCUAAUGUUAUUGACUGAGCCAAGGCACAGAAGCAGGAUUUGAACUCAGGUCCAAGAAGCUAAAGGCUGGGCUCUAGCACCAAAUAUAGAAAUGCUAUGACAAAUAAUUCAUAUAAGGAAAAAAUGCAUUUUUAAGUCUGUUUCCUCCACCUCUACGUUAUUACAUGGCACAGGGAAGCCAGAACAAACACGGUUUUCCCACCCUCACAGUUCAGCACUUAAAGUAGUAUCAUUUACUUGCCUAUGUCAGUGAGUGAGAUCUAGUAAGUGAAAUUAGUUACUUCUUAACUUAUGCCACCAAAUCUUCACAGAGCCUUGUAUUUGGCAGUAAUGUAGAUAAUUAAGUAGCUAAUGAAACCAUAAAAUCAGUGUCUGGUGAAAGCACGUUGGACCAGAAUCAAUGUGAAAUAAGUGAUAAUUAGGUAAUGCCUCUUCAACAGUACAUAAUUAUAUAAUAAUAGAAGGAGGUUUUGUUCUGUUUUAAACACUAUAGUUCCAAAUAUUUUACUAUGGAGCUACACAAAACCCAUACAUAUGCUUUGUAAGCUUGCCAUUGAAGGUAGGAUUGACACAAGAUCAUCAAGUUCUUUUCCUAGGAAGGCAAGAGAAACUGUAGGUUUGAGAGCCACAGGGGCCUUGGAGUCUAGAAGGAAAGCCAGGUAUUCCCAGCUGGGGGACUUGGCUAGAUGCUGUAGCUACUAGACCCCCAGAGGAGGUGACAGCUUGUUUUGCUAAUUGUUCAAAAGAGCAGCCUACCUGGAGAGCGGGACCCUCUAGGGAUGGUAGUUUCCUGAUGAUGCAGAAAGAGCAGGUGUAGACACAACACAACAAGAGAACCUGUAUGGGGCUGUUUUCAGAAGAAGGUAGAGUGGAAAAUGGUGCCAUCAGCAGUUCAGGGGAGAUUAAACAAUGAUACCUCAGAGAACAAAGCAGAGGCAACCUUCCCCUCCAAGACACUUCCUCCAAGACUGGCCACCACAUCUCCAGCCUUUCACUUAUCAAGUUUUCAUAUUUAAGAUUUAGGAAAUGAGUAAGCUACAAUUCCAUCACUCAAGUGAAAUUUCAUUUCGUUGUGUUUGUAUGCAUAUGCAUUUUAAACAACUGUGGGAUCAGUCAUUGUACAGUAUACUUCUAUAACAUAUUUAGCAGUAUAUUGUAAUGUCUCCCCCCCCCCCCUUUCUGAGUAUAAGGCUAAUAGUCUGUUUUAGGAAAGCUGUGGAAAUCAGAAUGACCAGUACCCACCCUGCCCGAGGCCAGCCACUGCCACUUCUGUCCCAGCAAAAAGCCUGCUCGUUAUAUGCUCCAGUGUGUUUUGAACACACCGCACUAAGCUGGUUGUUCCUAGUUGGAAAUGUUGAUUGUCAUGAAAAAGGAUUUCCUUGUUGUAAAAAAACAUUUUACCAUAUGUCCU